AUGCGCACCCGAGCGGCGGAGCGGCCCAAGCGCUGGCCGAGGGGCCGACGACCCCGGGCGCGCCACCCCCAACCCCUGCGCUCCCACUCCCCGCCGCCGGGGAAGGGAUUUCUCUCCGGGACAGCUGGCCCGCGCUGUGAUGUUUCAAAGAAGGCGAAAAGUGGGCUAAUGUUUGUAAAACUGGUUAACCCCUGUUCAGGAGAAGGAGCCAUUUACUUGUUCACUAUAUGUCUACAGCAGCUGUUUGAAGUAAAAGUUUUCAAGGAAAAACACCAUUCUUGCUUUAUAAAUCAAUCAGUUCAAUCAAGAGGCCUUGUCCACUUUGCCACACCUGUGGAUCCUCUAUUUCUGCUUCUCCACUACCUCAUGAAGGCUGAUAAGAAGGGGAAGUUUCAGCCCCUUGAUCAAGUUGUGGUGGAUAACGUGUUUCCAAAUUGCAUCUUGUUGCUGAAACUUCCUGAACUUGAGAAGUUACUUCACCAUGUGACAGAGGAAAAAGAAAAAGACAACAAGAAACAUUACAAGUACAGCGAAAAGAAGACAUUAAAGUGGCUGGAAGAAAAGGUUAAACUACGGCAGCAUUAAAAACAGGUAAUGUGAAUGUCAUUUCCCCGGUACAGUCAACUGCAUUUUUCUCUGGUGACCAAGUUUCCACUGACAAGGAAGAGGAUUAUAUUCUUUAUGCCCAUGGCGUGAUAUCUGAUUACAUCCCUAAAGAAUUAAGUAAUGACUUAUCUAAAUACUUAAAGCUUCCAGAACCUUCAGCCUCAUUGCCAAAUCCUCCAUCAAAGAAAAUAAGGUUAUCAGAUGAGCCUGUAGAAGCAAAAGAAGAUUACACUAAGUUUAAUACUAAGGAUUUGAAGACUGAAAAGAAAAAUAGCAAAAUGACUGCAGCUCAGAAGGCUUUGGCUAAAGCUGACAAGAGUGGAAUGAAAAGUAUUGAUACCUUUUUUGGUGUAAAAAAUUUUUUUAAAAUGGGAAAGGUUUGAAACUUUGAGAAAAAAAAAACAAAGAGACAGUGUGAACUGAGGUAGUCAGGACCGAGAGUGGACAAGGGCUGGCUGUCUUCUCUCUAGCUGGGCUGACAGUGGGAAGCAUCUCAUGGUACAAGGUAAGUUUGGUAAGUAAAACCUUUUGUGUAUGUGUCAAAAGAUUCAUAAGUGCUCGGGACAGAAUGAUGGAAACAAGAUUUAGCAAGACCCCAACCGCCAAAAAAGGUUUAGAGGUUGCAGCUGUAGGGAAACUCAUACAGUAUGAGUCAAGAGUGAGAUAAUGUUCCCUCUUUCCCACCCAAAUAACUUAUGAGACUUUAGGUGGCAGUUUAAUUUAUCUGUGAUGGCUUAAUCCACACUGGCCGACAGUAACAGGAAAGCAGCCGCAUCCCAGAGUGGAGGCACCGGCGAGGGAGGAGACGGACUUCCUGGAGCAGCUGAAGGAAACAGUCAGGUCUGAGGCGCUCAGGAGCAGAGUCAGGGAACUGGUGCUUCAUUCAACCCAUAUGGGGUUUCCAGCAUGAUUUGAACUGGCAUUUAAAAUUCAGACUGUGUCACAUACACAUCUAGAUUCUGCUUUUUCUCAUGCUUGUUGCAUUUUCCCAUGAGACAGCCAUUGUGUGCACCCCAGCUGGACCCACCCCCAUCCCCGACCACGGGGACCAGAGCUGCCGUUGGUUAACACCUAUCAUGAACUUUAUACUGAGGCUUUUCUUCUGGUAAGAGAGAGAAUUCUCUGUAUCUGUGUCCAUUAAAAGCAGCAUAAUGAGAUUUUAAGAGUAUGUGAAGAAUGUUUUUGUAAGUUUAAUGCAAGGAGCAAGUCCAUUUCUCUCCUUUAUUUACCUGGAUUCUGUAAAAUGUCUAAAAUCUUGACAUCUAAGCCAUUUGGCAAAGGAAAUAGCUGGAGGAUGUAGAAUAGCUAGCCCAGAAAAGAGAACACCUAGGUACUAUAAGAGGUUAGACUCUAAUAUAUGUAAGAUUGUCACAAGGGGGAAAUAUUGAAUUUGACCCGCAACCACCAGUUGCAAGAGAUGUAUCUAAAAUAGAAAAAUACAGAAAGAUUGAAAGUUAAAAGCAUCUGUGGUCCAAUUACUUUUUACAAAGCAAUUUAAAAGAUUUAAAAAGGUAUUUCAUGCAAACACUAAACAAAAGAAAGUGCACCUAAUUUAAUAUCUGUCAAGGAAGAUUU